UUUAGCCCGUGGCCACUGAGAGAAGAAUAUAAGUUAACCUCUGUAGUGACCAUGGGGAAGUCCUGACCUUCCUUGCAGACUUGACCUCUGGAUAUGACAAGGUGGCUUCACUACAGAUCUACCAAUUAAUCCUGGAAACUAAAAACCAAAAACAAAUCAAAAAAAAAAAACAAACCAAAAAAACAACUUCACAGCAAGAAAGAUACAGAAUAUUUCCUGAGAAGUCAGAAGAACCUAAUGUAUUCUGGUGGGCAAAAGAAAAUAGGGUGGGGUUCUGUGUUCACUGAUACGGCCCUUUGCUUCCCUCGGCUCAUGGAAAGAAGUGCUGAAUCAGCGAAUAGAGUGAAGGAACGAUCAAGAGGAGAUGGCAGCUGCUGAUGUAACUCUCUAGGUCAUUAUCUCUCUUCCUCCUGCAAAAGCUGCAUGGCACUAAACUUACAGGAUCUAGAAGCAAACUACAAAAUAAGAAGAAAUUCCUCUGAAGACAAUGAAGAAACACUAGGCUGAUCUUACCAAUUUCUGAAAUAUACUCUGUAAAACCUCCACUGAUUCUAUGAAUCUCUUGCAAAAACAACCAGACCAGGACAAAGUUCAACAGAUACUGGUUAGUGUUUAGACGUAUCUAUGUCCACCAAGAACAAGGAGCCAUGAAUGGCACUAAUGCCAUGCUUCAGGUAAAUCUGUUAUAGUUUAGUCUUUGAUAGUCUCUGCCAAUGAUCUACCACUACUCUGUAUCAGUAAACUAAAUGUUUUACUAACAAAUGGGAAAAUAAAACAUUUCAUGUUUUUACAGCUAACAACUUAGUAAAACCUACUCAGAGUA